rnacentral:rRNA from 1 species
AUUGAACGCUGGCGGCAGGCCUAACACAUGCAAGUCGAACGGUAACAGGAAGAAGCUUGCUUCUUUGCUGACGAGUGGCGGACGGGUGAGUAAUGUCUGGGAAACUGCCUGAUGGAGGGGGAUAACUACUGGAAACGGUAGCUAAUACCGCAUAACGUCGCAAGACCAAAGAGGGGGACCUUCGGGCCUCUUGCCAUCGGAUGUGCCCAGAUGGGAUUAGCUAGUAGGUGGGGUAACGGCUCACCUAGGCGACGAUCCCUAGCUGGUCUGAGAGGAUGACCAGCCACACUGGAACUGAGACACGGUCCAGACUCCUACGGAGGCAGCAGUGGGGAAUAUUGCACAAUGGGCGCAAGCCUGAUGCAGCCAUGCCGCGUGUAUGAAGAAGGCCUUCGGGUUGUAAAGUACUUUCAGCGGGGAGGAAGGGAGUAAAGUUAAUACCUUUGCUCAUUGACGUUACCCGCAGAAGAAGCACCGGCUAACUCCGU